AUGCUUACUUUGGUAGCACAUAUACUAAACUUGGAAUGACACAGAGAAGAUUAGUGUGACCCCUGCACAAGGAUGACACACAAAUGCAUGAAGUGUUCCAUAUUUAA
rnacentral:snRNA from 1 species